rnacentral:lncRNA from 10 species
CAAAAAUGGUAAAUGGCUCAUUGUUCAAAACAGCCCUGAGAGUAAUUCCUGGCACCUCUUCCUUCUUUAUCUUCCACAUCCAGUUUAUCUCCAAAUUUUCUCAAUUCUCCACCAAAAAUUCAUCCCCAAUCCUUUCACUUGUUCCCAUCUCAGCUUCCAGUACUCAAAUCCAAGCCUCUGCAAACCCAAUGAUCUUUCAGCUUCCCUUCUAAUCCCCUUCUAAUUUUUCUCCAAAUCACUGCUACAGUGAUGGGAUCAUACUCCAGCCCAAAGUCUUCCCAUGGCCUCCAGUUGCCCUUGGAAUUCAACCCAAACCUUCACCAUGGUUUACGAGGCUCUGCACGGUUAAGCCCAUGCUUAUUUACAGGUUUAUUUCAUACCACCGUUCCUCUUGUCCUGCCAUAUGGAUGUUCUUUUGCUUCCUCCAAUGUGACAAGCUCUUUUCCACCUCAGGGGUCUUCCUACCUGCUGCUGUUCCUUCUGUGUGAAAGACUGUUUCCAUACUUGGCUCUUUCUCAGGUCUCAGACCUUCCCUGAUCCUCUAUGACAAAAGGUCCCUUCUGUCAUUCGCUUGUAGGGCACUCUGUUCUUUUCUUUCAUAUCAAAACUUGUUACACUUAUAUGUGGUUACUUAUAGAGAUCCAUGUCCCCAACACAAGCUUGAAAGUUCCAUGAGGAUAGGGAUUAUGCCUGCUGCAUUCACCAUGGCAUUCCUUAUGCCUAGCCCAGGGCAUGGCCCAGGGCAGAGCCACAAUACAUUUCUGAUGAACAAGUGAUAGACAGAGUGGAUAGAAAACUACAUGAGAACAGAAAAGAAGCGAUUGGAUUUAGCAAGGAGGUCAUAUUUGCUCAGCU